CCCUUAGAUGUUCUGGGCCGCACGCGCGCUACACUGAUGCAUUCAACGAGUUUCUUCCUGGUCCGAGAGGAAUGGGUAACCUUUUGAAAGUGCAUCGUGAUAGGGAUAGACUAUUGCAAUUAUUGGUCUUCAACGAGGAAUUCCUAGUAGACGUAGUUCAUCAGACUGCAUCGAUUACGUCCCUGCCCUUUGUACACACCGCCCGUCGCUCCUACCGAUUGAAUGCUCAGGUGAGCCAUUCGGACUUUCAUCAUGCUGGUUUCCAGUUUUGAUGAAGGCAAGUCUUGCGAACCUUAUCAUUUAGAGGAAGGAGAAGUCGUAACA
rnacentral:rRNA from 1 species